rnacentral:sRNA from 1 species
GCCAGGCACAGUGGUGCAUGCCUGUAAUCCCAGCAGCCUGGGAGGCUGAGGCAGGAAGAUUGAGGGUUCAGAGCUAGCCUCAGCAAAAGUGAGGCGCACUAAGCAAUUCAGUGAGAACCUGUCUCUA